rnacentral:rRNA from 1 species
UACAGAGGUCUCAAGCGUUGUUCGGAUUCAUUGGGCGUAAAGGGUGCGUAGGCGGCGCGGUAAGUCGGGUGUGAAAGCCCGGGGCUUAACCCCGGAAGUGCACUCGAAACUGGAAGGCUUGAGUAUGGAAGAGGGUCUCGGAAUUCCCGGUGUAGAGGUGAAAUUCGUAGAUAUCGGGAGGAACACCAGUGGCGAAGGCGGAGACCUGGGCCAAUACUGACGCUGAGGUGCGAAAGCGUGGGGAGCGAUCCGG